AUGCUCAAGUCCCUUGUCCUUCAAGCGAAUCAUUUCAGCGGCCCAGUACCUCCAUCCGUAUUCAACCAUUCUAGAUUAACUAAACUCUGGCUUGACUUCAACUACAACUUAACUGGUCCGAUUCCUAGCAACGAAAGUUUUAGUCUACCAGCGUUGCGAAGAAUCAGCCUGGACAGCAACAAAUUCACCGGUGAGAUUCCAUCGGGGCUCUCCUCUUGUAGCUACCUCCAAGGUAUCUCCUUCAGCCAGAAUUUCUUUGAGGGUGUUGUGCCAACGUGGCUGGGCAAGCUUUCUCAUCUCACUUUCCUUUCUUUCGACGAGAAUCACCUUGUUGGUCCAAUUCCUGCUGCACUUAGCAACCUCACUCAACUAAGUUUACUAGGCCUAGAUGGCUGUAAGCUGUCAGGAGCCAUUCCGGAAGAAUUUGGACAGUUGGACCAACUGAAUUGGUUUGAUGUCUCGGACAAUCAACUAGUCGGACCCAUUCCUGCUUCUCUUGGUAACCUGUCUGAAUUAGCAUACCUACACUUAAACAAUAAUAUGUUCCUUGGAUCGGUACCAAGAACAAUUGGUAGUACCAACUCUAUGGUUCGUAUUGAUAUUUCAGAGAACUGCCUAGAGGGGGAUCUUAGCUUCUUAUCCCGUUUUUCUAAUUUUAGAAAGCUCCAGUUUCUUCACAUCUCUUCAAAUAAUUUCACCAGGGGCAUUCCUAACUAUGUGGGGAACCUGUCAAGCCAAUUGCAGAUUUUUAGUGCAUCUGAGAACAAUUUUGUGGGUGAACUUCCGGCUACGAUUUCAAACUUAACAGGUCUUGAAUGGCUAGAUUUUUCAAAGAAUCAGUUGGAUAGCAAGAUUCCAGAAUCCAUCGUGAUGAUGGAGAAUCUCCAGUGGCUUGACCUUGAUGGAAAUCACUUGUUUGGGUCCAUCCCACCUCAGAUUGCAAUGCUUAAGAAUAUAGGUCAUUUGUUCCUCUACAACAAUAAAUUGUCUGGUUCAAUACCGGAGGGGAUUGGUAACCUCACCAAGUUAGAAUACCUGGUACUGUCUGCCAACCAGUUAUCAUCAAUAAUCCCAUCGAGUUUAUUUCAUCUUGACAGUGUCAUUAAGCUAGAUGUGUCUCGAAACUUCUUUGCUGGCACAUUACCGGUUGAUAUGGGCAAUUUGAAUCAAAUUUACAGCAUGGACCUCUCUGCCAACCUCUUGGUUGGUAGCAUCCCAUAUUCGGUUGGACAACUCCAAACGAUGGCCUACUUGAACCUGUCACACAAUUCAUUUGAUGAUUCACUUCCAGAAUCUUUCGGCAAGCUAACCAGCUUGCAAACUUUGGACCUAUCACAUAACAAUCUCUCUGGUACAAUACCAAAGUACCUAGUAAAUUUCACCAUCUUGACCAGCUUGAACAUGUCUUUCAACAAGCUACAAGGUCAAGUACCAGAAGGUGGUGUCUUCUUAAAUAUUAGUCAGCAAUCCUUGACGGGGAAUUCAGGGCUUUGUGGUGCUUCACGUUUAGGAUUUCCAAUGUGCCCAAGUAACUCUAAAAGAGCUAAUAAUGGCCGCAUGCUGAAGAUUAUGCUCCCUACUAUCAUCAUAGCAAUUGGACUUGUAGCUUUCUGCAUAUAUGUAACAGUCAGAAAGAAGAUUACGAAGCGGCAAGGGAUGUCUGCUUCUCCCGGUAUGGUUGACAUGCCCACCCAUCACCUGGUCUCGUACCAUGAGCUUGUUCGAGCAACUGAUAAUUUUAGUGAGAGCAACCUGCUAGGGUCUGGAAGUUUCGGAAAAGUUUUCAAGGGCCAACUAAGCAAUGGUUUGAUUGUUGCAAUCAAAGUUCUAGACAUGCAGCUAGAACAAGCGAUGAGAAGCUUUGAUGCAGAGUGUGGUGUACUACGGAUGGCACGACACCGCAAUCUAAUGAGGAUACUCAAUACCUGCUCCAACUUGGAAUUUAGGGCAUUGGUGCUUCAAUACAUGCCCAAUGGCAGCUUAGAAAUGCUGCUACACAACUCUCAAGGUACAACCGAAUUGGGAUUCAGUGAGAGACUAGGCAUCAUGCUCGAUGUGUCAUUGGCAAUGGAGUAUCUGCACCAUGAACACUACGAGGUGGUCUUGCACUGUGACUUGAAGCCUAGCAAUGUGUUGUUCGAUGAGGACAUGACAGCACAUGUGGCAGACUUUGGCAUUGCAAGGUUGUUACUAGGUGAUGACAGCUCUACAAUCACUGCAAGCAUGCCUGGAACUGUUGGCUACAUGGCACCAGGUACUGUUACUAGCUAG
rnacentral:rRNA from 1 species